CUACUAAGCUUGAGUACUGUAGGGGGUAGCGGAACUCCUAGUGUAAGGGUGAAAUUCGUAGAUAUUAGGAGGAACACCGGAGGCGAAAGCGGUUAUCUGGACAGUCACUGACGCUGUUGCACGAAAGCGUGGGGAGCAAACAGGAUUAGAUACCCUGGUAGUCCACGCAGUAAACGAUGAGUGCUAGAUGUUGGGGUUUAAGUCUCA
rnacentral:rRNA from 1 species